rnacentral:sRNA from 1 species
CUUAUUUGAUUUGGAGUUGAGCAACUUGUUUGCUAUCCAGCUUGAAAGGAAGGAAAUCGAUUCCACCCAUGUAAGGUUGCAAUGCUUUUGGAACUUCAACACCAUUCUCCCUCUGGAAGUUCUCCAAAAUACAGCAAAGGGUCCUCUCAGUGGCAGUCAAUGUUGAGUUCAACAUAUGAACAAAUUGCUUGGAUUUGAAAUGAUACCUUUUUCUGGCCAUAACCUAUACCAAGUCUCCUUGCUUGAAAAUCUGUGCAAUUUGAGCAGGACACUAAUUCCCUGUAGGUUUUUGAUGCAGGGAACCAUGCUUCUAAAUCAUACUUCUUAGCUGCAGCAUCAUUAAGAGCACCAGACACGAUGGAGACAAGUUGAUACGGUAGGCCAAUCUAAAUCUUCUGAAUUUUUAAUCAUUUCUUCAUGCAUCUCCCAAGAUUCAUUGUCAUUUGGACUUGUGACACAGAAUUGUUCGAUCUUUUCAAAUUGGUGGACUCUGAAGAUACCAGCCGUGUCCCUCCCAUGUGAACCAGCUUCUUUCCGGAAACAGGUGGAAUAUCCAGCAUAUCUAAAUUGGCAAAUCAGCAGGAUAAAUUCGAUCACCAAGAUGAUACGCACACAACGGUUGCUCAGAUGUAGCUAUGAGAUACUUUUCCUCUCCAUCGCCUGUUAGCUUUGUAAAGCUCUUCGUCGAAUUGGGCCAACUGGGCACAUUUUCCCAUGGUUUCCUUUCUCAUGAAAAAAGGAGUUUGCAUUGGCUUGAAGCCUCGCUUUCUCAGAAAAGCAAGUCCAAAAUUUAUCAAUGCCAAGUUCAGUAGCACACCUUCAUCCUUUAAAUAGUAACCCCUUCCACCUGCUACAUCAACACCUUUCUCCAAAGCUACAAUGUCAAGCAUCUUGCAAAGAUCCACGUGAUUCUUCAAAUUCCCUUCCAUCCUCUUCUCUCCCCAUGUCCGUACAAUUAAAUUGUUUGCCUCAUCAUCGCUGACAGGGACGGAUUCGUGCACAAUGUUUCCGAUCGUCACGAGUUUGGCAUCCAGCGUGCCUUUGGCCUCCUGCACCUCCGUCUCCUUGGCAGCCAACCUCUUCUUAAUUUCUUCCGUGCUCUGAAUCAGAGCCGAUGCAUCCUCCUUUUUCGCCUUGAGCUUGCCGAUUUCCUUGCUGGUUUUGUUGAGCUCCUGCCGGAUUUUGUCGAGCUCGAACUGCCUCUGGCGCCACUGGUCGUCGAGGGCGAUGACCUCGUCGACGAGCUCGACGGAGGCGGAGCGGUUGCGCUGCGACUUGCGGAUCAGCUCCGGGUCGCCGCCCUUCUCCGUGCGGAAGAGGUUGAUGUCGAGCAUCUUCUCGCGCCGACGGUGGGAGGAGGCGUGCGACCGGCGGCGGCAGCGGCGG